rnacentral:rRNA from 1 species
UACAGAGGGUGCGAGCGUUAAUCGGAUUUACUGGGCGUAAAGGGCGCGUAGGCGGUUAAAUGAGUGUGAUGUGAAAGCCCCGGGCUCAACCUGGGAAGUGCAUCGCAAACGAUUUAACUGGAGUAGGUGAGAGGGUGGCGGAAUUUCCGGUGUAGCGGUGAAAUGCGUAGAGAUCGGAAGGAACGUCAAUGGCGAAGGCAGCCACCUGGCACCAUACUGACGCUGAGGCGCGAAAGCGUGGGGAGCGAACAGG